UUAACGGCCGCGGUACCCUAACCGUGCGAAGGUAGCAUAAUCACUUGUUCUUUAAAUGGGGACUCGUAUCAACGGCACUACGAGGGCUAUACUGUCUCCUUUUUCUAAUCAGUGAAACUGAUCUCCCCGUGAAGAAGCGGGGAUUAAAAUAUAAGACGAGAAGACCCCAUGGAGCUUUAAACUCACCAUGCACCUCUGUGCCCCCCCCAUAUCCUUAAACACAACGGACCUGCAUGCUAGUUUUAGGUUGGGGUGACCACGGAGUACAACUUAACCUCCACAGCAAAUGGGCUAAUACCCUUAUCCACGAGACACAACUCUAAGAAUUAUUAUACUAAUGCUUAUUGACCCGAUAUUCGAUCAAUGAACCAAGUUACCCUGGGGAUAACAGCGCAAUCUACUUCAAGAGCCCAUAUCGACAAGUAGGUUUACGACCUCGAUGU
rnacentral:rRNA from 1 species